UUCUGGUUGAUCCUGCCGGACCUGACUGCUAUCGGAUUGAUACUAAGCCAUGCGAGUCAUUGUAGCAAUACAAGGCAUACGGCUCAGUAACGCGUAGUCAACCUAACCUAUGGACGGGAAUAACCUCGGGAAACUGAGAAUAAUGCCCGAUAGAACAUUAUGCCUGGAAUGGUUUAUGUUCCAAAUGAUUUAUCGCCGUAGGAUGGGACUGCGGCCUAUCAGUUUGUUGGUGAGGUAAUGGCCCACCAAGACUAUUACAGGUACGGGCCCUGAGAGGAGUAGCCCGGAGAUGGGUACUGAGACACGGACCCAGGCCCUAUGGGGCGCAGCAGGCGAGAAAACUUUGCAAUGUGCGAAAGCACGACAAGGUUAAUCCGAGUGGUUUCUGCUAAAGAAACCUUUUGUCAGUCCUAGAAACACUGAUGAAUAAGGGGUGGGCAAGUUCUGGUGUCAGCCGCCGCGGUAAAACCAGCACCUCAAGUGGUCAGGAUGAUUAUUGGGCCUAAAGCAUCCGUAGCCGGCUCUGUAAGUUUUCGGUUAAAUCUGUACCCUCAACGUACAGGCUGCCGGGAAUACUGCAAA
rnacentral:rRNA from 1 species